rnacentral:sRNA from 1 species
GGGUGUGAGGGCGAUCUGGCUGGGACAUUUGUCACCCACUGAUUGCCAGAGUUGGUUCAGCUGAUCUGGCCUGCUAAGCAGGUGUCCCCUUCCUCCCUCACCACUCUAUGUGUGUCCCUCCUGAAGAUGCUCACACAGUCAGAGUACUCCCAUCAUGGAUAUCUGAGUAGCUAUGAGCUCUCAAGAAGAGGGGAUGUACAAUGUGCUCCCUGUCUCUUGCCAUAUGAUACCCUGCAACACCAUGGGACUCUGCCAUCAAGAAAGCCACUACCAGAUGUGGCCCCUCAACCU